rnacentral:rRNA from 1 species
UACGUAGGGUCCAAGCGUUAUCCGGAAUCACUGGGCGUAAAGCGUGCGUAGGCGGCGUGUUAAGUGUGAUGUUAAAUCGUGGGGCUCAACCCUAUCGAUGCAUCGCAUACUGGCAUGCUAGAGGAAGGCAGAGGCAAGUGGAAUUUGUAGUGUAGCAGUGAAAUGCGUAGAUAUCAUCUGGAACGCCAAUGGUGAAAACAGCUCGCUGGGGGUGUGCAGACGCUGAGACACGAAAGCCAGGGGAGCGAACGGG